ACCAAGGUCCGGCACAAGUCUAGAGAAGCUUCAGCCAGUUCCAGUGAGUUGGGAUAAAUGAAACGUGGAUCUACCAUAGACGUCUGUCCGUCUUACUGGAUAAGCGAGCACCUUUACCGGGGAAGUUAGAUGGCUGGAGUCAGCUGGCAAAUACAGAAGCAGGAAACAUUACACUGAAGCUCAGAAAAUAAUAUCCCCAAAUGAAGGCAUCAGAAAUAAAAGUUCUUCUCUGACCUUCUUUCUCUCAAGACAUUGUAUUAUGAAAAAUUUCCAGCAUACAGAAAAGUUGAAGAACACCCACAUGCCUGCUACUCAGAUUCUACAAUAAACAUUUGCUAUAUUUGUUUUACCUACAUAUCUAGUCAUCCAUCCAUCCAUUCAUAUUAUUUUUAAUGCACGUCUUAUUUUUUAAUGCACUGUCAACUACAGACAUCAGUACUCUUCACCUCCAAACAUUUCAGCAACAUAUCAACAAUCUGCGCUGGCACCACGCCAGUCUCAGCAAACAAAGAACAAUCAGCAUGUUGUUGAUUUUAACGAUAGUCAAAAAUUUGUUUAGAGUUCCUUUUGUUUUAAAUAAAAUUUAUAAAGAAUGAAAUGUGUAAUUCUUAAGUGUACUAUUCUUUGAGUUUUCACAAAUGCAUAGACCUGUGUAACCUAAAGUCCUAUGAAGAUGUAGAAUAUCCCAUCCCCCUAGGAAGUUCCCUCAUGGCCCUUCCAAAUAAUCUCUGCUUACUCUGGUUUUCAAGCAACCACUGUUUUGCCUUUUAACAAACUAUAGAUUUGCUUUGCCUUCUAUAGCUUCAUAUAAAAGAAAUAAAAUCGUAUAGUAAGUAC